AGUGAACGCUGGCGGUAGGCCUAAUACAUGCAAGUCGAACGGCAGCACAGUAAGAGCUUGCUCUUACUGGUGGCGAGUGGCGGACGGGUGAGGCAUACAUCGGCAUCUACUUUUUUGUGGGGAAUAACGUAGGGAAACUUACGCUAAUACCGCAUACUACCUACGGGUGAAAUCAGGGGAUCUUCGGACCUUUCGCGAUUGAAUGAGCCGGUGCCGGAGUAGCUAGUUGGAGGGGUAAAGGCCCACCAAGGCGACGAUCCGUAGCUGGUCUGAGAGGAUGAUCGGCCACACUGGAACUGAGACACGGUCCAGACUCCUACGGGAGGCAGCAGUGGGGAAUAUUGGACAAUGGGCGAAAGCCUGACCCAGCCAUGCCGCGUGGGUGAAGAAGGCCUUCGGAUUGUAAAGCCCUUUUGUUGGGAAAGAACAGCAGCAGGUUAAUACGCCGCUGUUCUGACGGUACCCAAAGAAUAAGCAACGGCUAACUUCGUG
rnacentral:rRNA from 1 species